ensembl:snRNA U6 U6 spliceosomal RNA
GUGCUCGCUUCAGCAGCACAUAUACUAAAAUUAGAACAAUCCAGAGAAGAUUAGCCUGGCCCCUGAAAAGGAUGACAUGCAAAUUGGUGAAGCAUUCCAUAUUUUC